UACAGAGGUCUCAAGCGUUGUUCGGAUUCAUUGGGCGUAAAGGGUGUGUAGGUGGCGCGCUAAGUCGGGUGUGAAAUUUCGGAGCUUAACUCCGAAACUGCAUUCGAUACUGGCGUGCUUGAGGACUGGAGAGGAGACUGGAAUUCAUGGUGUAGCAGUGAAAUGCGUAGAGAUCGGGAGGAACAUCAGUGGCGAAGGCGGCCAUCUGGGACAACACUGACGCUGAAGCACGAAAGCGUGGGGAGCAAACAGG
rnacentral:rRNA from 1 species